GAUGAACGCUGGCGGCGUGCCUAACACAUGCAAAGUCGAGCGAUUCUCUUCGGAGAAGAGCGGCGGACGGGUGAGUAACGCGUGGGUAACCUGCCCUGUACACACGGAUAACAUACCGAAAGGUAUGCUAAUACGAGAUAAUAUGCUUUUAUCGCAUGGUAGAAGUAUCAAAGCUUUUGCGGUACAGGAUGGACCCGCGUCUGAUUAGCUAGUUGGUAAGGUAACGGCUUACCAAGGCGACGAUCAGUAGCCGACCUGAGAGGGUGACCGGCCACACUGGAACUGAGACACGGUCCAGACUCCUACGGGAGGCAGCAGUGGGGAAUAUUGCGCAAUGGGGGAACCCUGACGCAGCAACGCCGCGUGGAGGAAGAAGGUCUUCGGAUUGUAAACUCCUGUCUUCUGGGACGAAUAAUGACGGUACCAGAGGAGGAAGCCACGGCUAACUACGUG
rnacentral:rRNA from 1 species